rnacentral:misc_RNA from 1 species
UUUCCGUAGGUGAACCUGCGGAAGGAUCAUUCAUAAUAAAGUGUUUUAUGGCACUUUUUUAAAAAUCCAUAUCCACCUUGUGUGCAAUGUUAGAUCUCGUCAAUCUUGGCGAGAUUUUUAUACAUCAACUCAUUCUUUAACUAAUUUGUCUGAAAAAUAUUAUGAAUACUUAAUUCAAAAUACAACUUUCAACAACGGAUCUCUUGGCUCUC